AGAACGAACGCUAGCGGCGUGCCUAACACAUGCAAGUCCAACGUGAAAGGGGAGCAAUCCCCCGGUAGGGUGGGCAAACGGGUAGGAGUAAGACAUGGGUGGAUCUACCUUAGGGAGUGGGGAGUAUCCUUCCGAAAGGAGGGGCGAAUACCGAAUAUUGUCCGGGACCGGUGAAGGGUUCCGGGGAAGGGAGGCCUCUGAUACAAGCUUUCGUCCUUAAGAUGAGCCCAUGGCCCAUCAGCUAGUUGGUAGGGUAAAGGGCCUACCCAAGGCUACGACGGGUCGCUGGUCUGAGAGGACGACCAGCCACACUGGCACUGAGAUACGGGCCAGACUCCUACGGGAGGCAGC
rnacentral:rRNA from 1 species